rnacentral:rRNA from 1 species
UCCAGAGGGUGCAAACGUUGUUCGGAAUUACUGGGCGUAAAGCGCGUGUAGGCGGCCUAGUGUGUCGGGCGUGAAAUCCCACGGCUCAACCGUGGAAGUGCACUCGAAACUGCAAGGCUGGAGUACUGGAGAGGAUGGUAGAAUGCUCGGUGUAGAGGUGAAAUUCGUAGAUAUCGAGCGGAAUACCGGUGGCGAAGGCGGCCAUCUGGACAGUCACUGACGCUGAGACGCGAAAGCGUGGGGAGCAAACAGG